rnacentral:rRNA from 1 species
GUGGGGAAUAUUGGGCAAUGGGGGAAACCCUGACCCAGCGACGCCGCGUGAGGGAAGAAGGCCUUAGGGUCGUAAACCUCUGUUGUGUGGGAAGAAGAGUGUGACGGUACCACACGAGGAAGUCCCGGCUAACUACGUGCCAGCAGCCGCGGUAAUACGUAGGGGACGAGCGUUGUCCGGAUUUACUGGGCGUAAAGGGCGCGUAGGCGGUCAUUUAAGUCAGCUGUGAAAUGGUUUGGCUUAACCGGAUCAUGCGGUUGAAACUGGAUGACUGGAGUGCUGGAGAGGCAAGUGGAAUUCCCAGUGUAGCGGUGAAAUGCGUAGAUAUUGGGAAGAACACCAGUGGCGAAGGCGACACACUGGCUCAUUACUGACGCUGAGGCGCGAAAGCGUGGGGAGCAAACAGGAUUAGAAACCCCUGUAGUCC